AGGGGAUCUUCGGCAAUGGGGGCAACCCUGACCGAGCAACGCCGCGUGAGUGAAGAAGGUUUUCGGAUCGUAAAGCUCUGUUGUAAGUCAAGAACGAGUGUGAGAGUGGAAAGUUCACACUGUGACGGUAGCUUACCAGAAAGGGACGGCUAACUACGUGCCAGCAGCCGCGGUAAUACGUAGGUCCCGAGCGUUGUCCGGAUUUAUUGGGCGUAAAGCGAGCGCAGGCGGUUUGAUAAGUCUGAAGUUAAAGGCUGUGGCUCAACCAUAGUUCGCUUUGGAAACUGUCAAACUUGAGUGCAGAAGGGGAGAGUGGAAUUCCAUGUGUAGCGGUGAAAUGCGUAGAUAUAUGGAGGAACACCGGUGGCGAAAGCGGCUCUCUGGUCUGUAACUGACGCUGAGGCUCGAAAGCGUGGGGAGCGAACAGGAUUAGAUACCCUGGUAGUCCACGCCGUAAACGAUGAGUGCUAGGUGUUGGAUCCUUUCCGGGAUUCAGUGCCGCAGCUAACGCAUUAAGCACUCCGCCUGGGGAGUACGACCGCAAGGUUG
rnacentral:rRNA from 1 species